AGGCGGGAAGUGUGACGCCUCUGUCCUGGAGGAUACGGUGAGUGGUGUGUCCCUCCCACCACCACCACCACCACCACCACCACUACUAUGUGAAAGGUGUUGGAGCAAUCUUGGGUUCACAAUACACCAGGACACAGCGCGUCACCUGGAGGAACACACCCACUCAACACAACCUGCUGGCUUCAACACACGUGCCCGCUGCUGCUGAGUGCCUUCCUUCCUUCCUUCCUUCCUUCCUUCAUCAUGUGUGACGUCAGGUGUGGAGGAGGUUGUCGUCCUGAAGGAGGCCUUGACAAGGACUCCAACACGGAUCUCUGUAAUGACCUCACUCACCACCACGCAUCUCUCAGUCGUGUUGUCUUCCAGUCAAGCCACCACCACCACCACCACCACCACCACCACCACAACCCUCUCCAGCGUGAUCACAGCCUCGGUAUAUCAUUCAAGUGGAAGCAAAUGAGACUUAAAGACUUUCACUUCAGAGCAACUAAAACUCACUCCACACCCUGCAAAUAAAGAGUUGACGAUCCAAAGGCCUGACUCCACAGUGAUAAUGAGUCUCUCUACUAUCACUACGCCUUCACUGACAACGACCACUACCAACACCCCUGCCUCGCCACCGCUGCAACAUCAAGGAAGGACUCUGCCUUGCAUCACACCAACACACUGCGUACUCUUAACGCCGCCGCUGAGUGGGUGAUAGCGAGGAGUUGGUGAUCCAAAGGCCUGACUACAGCGAACCCCCGACUCCUGCACCAUCAGGAAGGGACUUUGGCUUCCCACGGCCUUCACAGACCCUUCUACCGCUACCGUCGUGUUACUGCCGCUGAGGGACUGCCCGGCAAACACCUACCACCAUUACCAUCACCACUGCUACCGCCGCCGCCGUCGUCGUCGUCGUCCAGCGAGAGAUUCAGCUUCGCGUCGCACACAUUCUGCCACUCACCUGCCGCUGCCGUCACCACCACCACCAAGGAUUCUGCAUGGCACCUUGACCCUGCGCUGCUGUCACCUACUGGUACUCGUGGUGGCGGCCAGAGGGGGAAGAGUUGCGGGUUGGUGUGGCAGUAGUCUCGCUCAUUGUGGGUGGUGUAUGUACUUGGACAGGUGUGGUGUUGUGGUGCAUUAAUCCAUUGUAAUAAACUGUCGUCACUGCCUUUCGCUCAUUGUGGGUGGUGUAUGUACUUGGACAGGUGUGGUGGUGUGGUGCAUUACUCCAUUGUAAUAAACUCGUCACUGCCUUUCGCUCAUUGUGGGUGGUGUAUGUACUUGGACAGGUGUGGUGUUGUGGUGCAUUACUCCAUUGUAAUAAAUUGUCUUCACUGCCUUUCGCUCAUUGUGGGUGGUGUAUGUACUUGGACAGGUGUGGUGUGGUGCAUUACUCCAUUGUAAUAAAUUGUCUUCACUGACUUAUUGUGUCGUCUCUGUACUAAGAACUGCUGUGUCACUAGUGAAUCAUAAAUUUUGAAGAAAUCUUGAUUGUUUUGGUAGAUUUCCUUUCCUGGGAAAAUUUGUGGGUGGUUUCAGUGAGUAGUCGCCUCGAGCUGGCUUAGGAGACUGUCUGACACACCAAUAUUGCCUCCAUUAACCGGUUACCUUCACUCACUCUAAACAAUAAUACGGCAGAAAUAAAAUGCUAAUUAAUAAAAAUGCCAAUUAAU